rnacentral:rRNA from 1 species
UAGAGUUUGAUCCUGGCUCAGGACGAACGCUGGCGGCGUGCUUAACACAUGCAAGUCGAGCGGAAAGGCCCUUCGGGGUACUCGAGCGGCGAACGGGUGAGUAACACGUGAGCAACCUGCCCUCAGCUCUGGGAUAGCUCCCGGAAACGGGAAUUAAUACCGGAUACGACCCUGACUGACAUCGGUCAGGGUGGAAAGGAUUCCGGCUGGGGAUGGGCUCGCGGCCUAUCAGCUUGUUGGUGGGGUGAUGGCCUACCAAGGCUUCGACGGGUAGCCGGCCUGAGAGGGCGACCGGCCACACUGGGACUGAGACACGGCCCAGACUCCUACGGGAGGCAGCAGUGGGGAAUAUUGCACAAUGGGCGGAAGCCUGAUGCAGCGACGCCGCGUGAGGGAUGACGGCCUUCGGGUUGUAAACCUCUUUCAGCAGGGACGAAGCGCAAGUGACGGUACCUGCAGAAGAAGCGCCGGCCAACUACGUGCCAGCAGCCGCGGUA